rnacentral:tRNA from 2 species
GCCGCCGUAGCUCAGCUGGGAGAGCGCCCGGCUGAAGACCGGGCGGUCAGGGGUUCGAAUCCCCUCGGCGGCA